GAGUUUGAUCGUGGCUCAGAUUGAACGCUGGCGGCAGGCCUAACACAUGCAAGUCGAGCGGUAGAGAGAAGCUUGCUUCUCUUGAGAGCGGCGGACGGGUGAGUAAUGCCUAGGAAUCUGCCUGGUAGUGGGGGAUAACGCUCGGAAACGGACGCUAAUACCGCAUACGUCCUACGGGAGAAAGCAGGGGACCUUCGGGCCUUGCGCUAUCAGAUGAGCCUAGGUCGGAUUAGCUAGUUGGUGAGGUAAUGGCUCACCAAGGCGACGAUCCGUAACUGGUCUGAGAGGAUGAUCAGUCACACUGGAACUGAGACACGGUCCAGACUCCUACGGAGGCAGCAGUGGGGAAUAUUGGACAAUGGGCGAAAGCCUGAUCCAGCCAUGCCGCGUGUGUGAAGAAGGUCUUC
rnacentral:rRNA from 1 species